UACGUAGGGGGCUAGCGUUGUCCGGAAUCAUUGGGCGUAAAGCGCGUGUAGGCGGUCCGGUAAGUCCGCUGUGAAAGUCGGGGGCUCAACCCUCGGAUGCCGGUGGAUACUGUCGGGCUUGAGUACGGAAGAGGCGAGUGGAAUUCCUGGUGUAGCGGUGAAAUGCGCAGAUAUCAGGAGGAACACCAAUUGCGAAGGCAGCUCGCUGGGACGUUACUGACGCUGAGGCGCGAAAGCGUGGGGAGCAAACGGG
rnacentral:rRNA from 1 species